rfam:Gossypium hirsutum cultivar TM-1 chromosome 23, whole genome shotgun sequence
AAUCUGUUGUGUGAACAUUUUUGAAUCAACAUUUUGAAGCAUUCCUAUGCCUCAUAAAAACUUUUUCCUUCCAUAUGUAUAAAGACAACAAUCUCUUUUCUUAGCUC